GGGGCUGCCGGCGAGGGGGCCGCGGUGCCGCCGGCGGAGGGGGGCGGCGGCGCCGUGGGGACAGGCGCCCCGGCGGGACAGGCGGGGGGAGGCGGUUAGUCAGCGGGGCAGCUGGCGGGCGUGUUCGCCUGGCGGCGUGGGGGAGCGGCCCCGCACGGUGACACACAGGCCCGGGUGGCGCGGCGGAGCCCCGCUUGAGGCAGGGCCCGGGCAGGGGGGUUUCUCCCUCUUGCCGGGACAACUUCCACAGGUCGCUCCCGCAGCGCGUUUUGAGCCAGCCGAUGGCUAAUUUGUAAUAAAUAACGACAUCAGUUUUGUACGUGUCCAGCGGCAUUUUUAGAACUACCCAGAAAGCACUUACCUCUCAAAUCUUGAUAAUCUCCCGGUAAACUGAGGGGGGAAAAAAACAACAACGCCUAGCUACACUAUAUACUAUUGCUUACAGAUAUCCCUGUUCUUAUUUUGUUUUUUAAUCCUACCAUCAAAUGUGACACUAGGUAACUCCACGUUAGGACUACUCUGAAGAGAGCUGCUUCUGGUGCUGAAGGAUCCCUAUUUCCUCGUUCAGAGAAUGUAGUCUUCAGUGCUUCAUAAGGCCACGUUGCCCUGAGAUGGAAACCUAUAAAACAGCAGGCAGUGCCAGAGCCCUGCCAAGGUUGACGAGGAGGAGACACAGGAGAGCCUGCUUCUGUUUUUAAAAUGGCUUCCCAAAGUGUGCAAGCGAUGCCAAAGUGCAAAACAAAAGAUAGGCUAAGUGAUACAAAUGCCUUUCCUCUGGAAAUACAUGACUUGACUUACUUAAGUAUAAAUUAGCUUUCCCCAGUGUGCAGCUCUAAAGGUGUAACUGUCUGUUUUGCUGAAACUGGCAACACGCUGGAGAUGGAAAUUAUUUCAGAGGCAGUAGCAGUGCUUGUGAACCUGUCCUCAGCUUCAGAAGCCCACAGCUGCACCCUUCUCCCCUGAGUUGGAGUCUUCUGACUGAAAGUAAGAGUAUCUCCUAUAAGAGGUAGACAACUGCUCGUUCGAAGGUUCAUAAAACUAGACAGGGUGUAGCCACAGGAGAGAAAUGCUCGUGCAAUUAAUGUGUGUUAUAUUUGCAUCUUUGAGGAUUAUAGAAACCAACCUGUCUGAUACUUUGUGGCAUCCUAACCUCUCUGCCUGGCUUAGUCUUGGCUCCAGUGGGUGGAGUCACCACUAGCAGGCUGUGUCACCUUUGUCUUUACUUACAGGAGAAUGUCUUCAUCGCUCUUUUACCUACAGCUUUUUUAGCAUAUCUACUGUCAGCCUUUAAAACUGCUUAAAAUGUGCAGCAUUAAGGGUUAAAAAAAAAAAAAAAGGAAUAAGCCUUCAUCCAAACUACUUCAUAGCAGAGAGACAAGCACAUUACUUUCAUACUGUGCCCAAUCCCUCACAACACUGACUGAUUUAGUGUAUUUUGAAAAGGGCUAUGAGGAAAACACGAGAACACUGGCUGUAGUAAGAGAAGCUCCAUUUACACUAAAAUGUUUCAAUUCUGACAUCUAGUUUAAAGCACUUUUCUGCCCUUUUAGCCAUACUCUGUGAAAGAAGAUACAGAUGGACCUUUGUUAAAACACUUGUUAAAAAUUGUCUGAGAGAGUCCUAAAUAGUUUUUAGCAGGUUUUAUAGCAUUACAACAUCUCUGUGCUGUAGGCAGAACCAAAGCAGAUAGAUAUACAGACAUAUAGUUUGUCCUGUUUCUCAGUGUGGUGUUAUCAAAAGUACCUUUCUCACUGCUGGGAGAUAUCUGCCAUUAAAUUUGCUUUGUGUUCAGGCAAAGCUAGGUAUAAGGCAAGCUUUGGUGUGGAUUUACAGUGUGUCAGUUAAUCCACAAAAAUAACUCAUGGACAGAGUCGUAUCCAGUAGUAAGCCGAAGAAAUUUUCUCCUCACUGAAAAUCGGGACAUAGGCAUGCACACUAUAAAUCCCCACCCAGUCUUGCCUCAUUUCAACUUGUAUAUGUAGUCAUACCCAAAGCAAAGGUUAAUAAAUAUAGCAAUGAGAUGAGCAAACAAUCUAGUCCCACAAACACAAUUUAGGAUAGGAACAAAAUGGACAGCAGCAUGUAAGGUUAAAAGACCUAGAUGUUCCAUAGGCCAGAGAAUGCUUCUUUUUUCUCGUUGAAAUAAAUUGAUUUCAUGUUAUAACCACUUCCCUAGAUCAUGGGUUUCCCUUACUUUUUCAGAUGCUGGUAAUGGCUGUUACCAAAGUCCAUCUAUUUCUCUUUGCACUUUAAUUUACAGCCCUUGUACUAGUCAUUUUAUUGCUUCAAUUGCUGAGUGAGAAAGCUUUUACAGCUGUUGAUUAUUGAACUCGGAGAAACAAGAAAGCUUUCUGUCUUUUUGUGGAGUAACUGUAGAGCCUACUGCUUCUUGUAAGUGGCAUUCAAUGUUUAACAAACUCUGGGAAGUCUGAUUUAACUGUGUGGGCCCUGGGAGUGAAAAAGAUUGCAGACUGUUUCCAGCUCACAUUUUGACUUGGCUGUUUUUAGUCUAUAAGGGUCUAUCCUUAAGAGUUCUGCCUGUGUACCUCUGAACUUCAGGCUCUUCCAUUUUUUGUAGCGUGAGGGGAUUGGAGCCAAAAUAUUUGCACACAGAAAUAUUUUUUCCUGACUUGAGCAACUGUAGCUACAUUAGUGUUGAUUAAUUCUUUUGUGGGAUAAGUCUUAUGAAUGCUGUGCCAUCAAAAUAAGGCUCUUGACAAUAGCAAAGUUAUACUGUCUUAAUUACUACUAUUAUUUCAUAUUGUAGGGGUUAUGGUCACAGACAAGCAUUCUACUGUGUUCAGCAGUAUAACAGGGGAAAAAAUAGAUGGCCUGUGCUUGAAAGAGUUUAGGAUUGAAAUUAGGCAAUCAUUAAACUGAGAGGUAAAUCUAAACUUCAGAAUUGGAAAAUGAGAUGAGAAAGAUUUGAUGCAAUUUACACAUUUUGUCCAAUUAUAGAAUUAUAAGCCAUCUAGCUAAAGCUUGAAGGCUUUAUCCACUCAGCCAACUUUAAUGUAAGAAAUGAUGCACUCAGCUUCAGGAGAAAUUUAGAACAUUAUUUUGAAAGCACUACAGUUCUUGUACUUUUGAUCUCUCUAAGUAAAAAGAUAUAUAUAUUUCCUGGAUAAUAAGCUGCUUGAAUCAGAUCUUUUAUGGUUUUGUGUACUAUUGUGUACAUCUGUAUUAAAAUCAAUAAGAAUAUGCAUGUGUUUUUAUUCACUAAAUAUGAAUGGAGUAU